rnacentral:rRNA from 1 species
GACGAACGCUGGCGGCGUGCCUAAUACAUGCAAGUAGAACGCUGAAGGAGGAGCUUGCUUCUCCGGAUGAGUUGCGAACGGGUGAGUAACGCGUAGGUAACCUGCCUGGUAGCGGGGGAUAACUAUUGGAAACGAUAGCUAAUACCUCAUAACAGUAGAUGUUGCAUGACAUUUGCUUAAAAGGUGCAAUUGCAUCACUACCAGAUGGACCUGCGUUGUAUUAGCUAGUUGGUGAGGUAACGGCUCACCAAGGCGACGAUACAUAACCGACCUGAGAGGGUGAUCCGCCACACUGGGACUGAGACACGGCCCAGACUCCUACGGGAGGCAGCAGUAGGGAAUCUUCGGCAAUGGACGGAAGGCUGACCGAGCAACGCCGCGUGAGUGAAGAAGGUUUUCGGAUCGUAAAGCUCUGUUGUAAGAGAAGAAAGAGUGUGAGAGUGGAAAGUUCACACUGUGACGGUAUCUUAACAGAAAGGGACGGCUAACUACGUG